UACGGAGGGAGCUAGCGUUGCUCGGAAUUACUGGGCGUAAAGCGCACGUAGGCGGCUACUCAAGUCGGGGGUGAAAGCCCGGGGCUCAACCCCGGAACUGCCCUCGAAACUAGGUAGCUAGAAUCUUGGAGAGGUCAGUGGAAUUCCGAGUGUAGAGGUGAAAUCCGUAGAUAUUCGGAAGAACACCAGUGGCGAAGGCGACUGACUGGACAAGUAUUGACGCUGAGGUGCGAAAGCGUGGGGAGCAAACAGG
rnacentral:rRNA from 1 species